rnacentral:rRNA from 1 species
AUGAACGCUGGCGGCGUGCCUAAUCCAUGCCAGUCGAGCGCACGGACGAGAAGCUUGCUUCUCUGAUGUUAGCGGCGGACGGGUGAGUAACACGUGGAUAACCUACCUAUAAGACUGGGAUAACUUCGGGAAACCGGAGCUAAUACCGGAUGAUAUUUUGAACCGCAUGGUUCAAAAGUGAAAGACGGUCUUGCUGUCACUUAUAGAUGGAUCCGCGCUGCAUUAGCUAGUUGGUAAGGUAACGGCUUACCAAGGCAACGAUGCAUAGCCGACCUGAGAGGGUGAUCGGCCACACUGGAACUGAGACACGGUCCAGACUCCUACGGGAGGCAGCAGUAGGGAAUCUUCCGCAAUGGGCGAAAGCCUGACGGAGCAACGCCGCGUGAGUGAUGAAGGUCUUCGGAUCGUAAAACUCUGUUAUUAGGGAAGAACAUAUGUGUAAGUAACUGUGCACAUCUUGACGGUACCUAAUCAGAAAGCCACGGCUAACUACGUG